UGGGGAAUAUUGCGCAAUGGGCGAAAGCCUGACGCAGCAACGCCGUGUGAGGGAUGAAGGCUUUCGGGUCGUAAACCUCUGUCGGAAGGGAAGAACGGGCAAUGGUCUAAUAGGCCGUUGUUUUGACGGUACCUUUAGAGGAAGCACCGGCUAACUCCGUGCCAGCAGCCGCGGUAAUACGGAGGGUGCAAGCGUUAUUCGGAAUUACUGGGCGUAAAGCGCACGUAGGCCGCUUUGUAGGUCAGGGGUGAAAUCCCACGGCGCAACCGUGGAACGGCCUUUGAAACUGCAGAGCUUGAAUCCUGGAGAGGGUGGCGGAAUUCCUGGUGUAGGAGUGAAAUCCGUAGAUAUCAGGAGGAACACCGGUGGCGAAGGCGGCCACCUGGACAGGUAUUGACGCUGAGGUGCGAAAGUGUGGGGAGCAAACA
rnacentral:rRNA from 1 species